CAGCCGCCACGGAAUACCGAGGGUGCAAGCGUUAAUCGGAAUUACUGGGCGUAAAGCGCGCGUAGGUGGUUUGUUAAGUUGGAUGUGAAAUCCCCGGGCUCAACCUGGGAACUGCAUCCAAAACUGGCAAGCUAGAGUAUGGUAGAGGGUGGUGGAAUUUCCUGUGUAGCGGUGAAAUGCGUAGAUAUAGGAAGGAACACCAGUGGCGAAGGCGACCACCUGGACUGAUACUGACACUGAGGUGCGAAAGCGUGGGGAGCAAACAGGAUUAGAUACCCCAGUAGUCCCUGUCUCUUAUACA
rnacentral:rRNA from 1 species